AACAAACGCUGGCGGCGUGCCUAACACAUGCAAGUCGUACGAGAAAGGGUCCUUCGGGGCCUGAGUAAAGUGGCGCACGGGUGAGUAACGCGUGGAUAAUCUGCCCUUCAGUUGGGAAUAACUCGUCGAAAGGUGGGCUAAUACCGAAUAAUGCUGUGAGACCUCGGUUGAUCAGCCAAAGAGAGCCUCUGCUUGCAAGCCCUCGCUGAAGGAUGAGUCCGCGUACCAUUAGCUAGUUGGUAGGGUAAUGGCCUACCAAGGCGACGAUGGUUAGCUGGUCUGAGAGGAUGAUCAGCCACACUGGAACUGAGACACGGUCCAGACUCCUACGGGAGGCAGCAGUGAGGAAUCUUGCGCAAUGGGGGCAACCCUGACGUAGCAACGCCGCGUGAGUGAGGAAGGUCUUCGGAUCGUAAAGCUCUGUCGGAUGGAAAGAACCGCAUAGGGGUAAACAGCCCCUGUGUCUGACGGUAUCAUCAAAGGAAGCACCGGCUAACUCCGUGCCAGCCGCCGCCGUAAAAC
rnacentral:rRNA from 1 species